GCCGGGAUAGCUCAGUUGGUAGAGCAACUGAUUCGUAAUCAGUAGGUCGGGAGUUCGAGUCUCCCUUCCGGCACCA
rnacentral:tRNA from 1 species